CAGAUGGAGAUGGCUGACGAAGAGCUCGAUGUCCAUGACUCGUCAGGUUCCGCUGGCUCCACUAACAACCGUCUACGGGCGCUUGCACAGGAUACCAAGCGAGUGUUUAGGAUCCCACACCGGGCAUUUCUUGACAUGCUCCUAGCACACCUUACACUAAUCACCGGCUCAGUAUGAUCGUGUUGUACAUGAUGACGGCAAGAUCUGUGUGACCAUCUUCUUCAACACCUCUACAUUGGAUCUUGGAGGACCAAUCAGUAUGAACGCGUCGUGUCGUCAUUCCUCCUGGUCUACAUUAUGCCCAAGACAUGCAAAGUUGUGGAUUGUAUGUAAGCUACCAUGUGCUUUUGUACGUCCUAUGCCUGUGAUAUUUGCUACUAAACCUAUUGUGCUACGUGCUUUCUAUGUUUAUACAUUGUUAGGUGGCUCCUUA